rnacentral:ncRNA from 2 species
UUCUUAUCAAGAGAAGCAGAGGGACUGGCCCAUUGAAGCUUCAGCAACCAACUUUUUUGUCAGGUGCUAAAUCCAGAAGACCAUUGAGUCGAAGAUGAGAA